AGACACUUACAACAAUUUGGAGGAACUGAAUAGACCGUCAAGUGGGGAGGAGAAUAAAUUGCAGGGUACAAAUUAGCCGAUCAACAAUAGUGCGCAGAGAUUUCUUAAGAAUGUCUGAUUUCUGAUCAAAAGAGGUGUUGAACAAAUGUGUGUUCAAACAACCACUUGAACCACUAGAACUGCAGACAGGACCCCGGUUUGAUGUCUAAUCUAUGUCUACUUCUGCAAGCUGACGGGAUUCUGUCAUAUGUAUGCCUGAAACAGACGGUCAAAGACCCUGGAAGGCAAAACUUCGACCCGAGAUUCUGUGACUCGAGCCACUCGACUGUCCAAGAUUCCAGCUAUUCCAGGAACAUCGUAAGAAGAAAAGGACAGACUUUGAUGAUACAAGUGCACAGUUGCAAAAACACUGCAAGAGAUUCAUCACCCUCUAUUGUCAACAUUUCCAAGCAAGAAGAACAGA